ensembl:lncRNA
UGAGGGAAACUUCUUAACAGUCAUGAGCUGUCCGAGAGCCGCUUCAGAUGGCGGCUGAAUAGUCUAUCGCCCUCCUUUCAGAGCUCGGUCUUCUGGAGAUAGGGGUGCAAUGAGUUGGAGGAAGCUGGGAAGGCGUAACAGAUCCGGACGCUGCCCUCUGUCCUGGACACCGUGUGAGGAGGCAUCAGUGCUCCCCAGCCAGAAGAAAGACUUCUCUGACCUUCGUUUCUCUGCUCAGUGGCCAUGCCAGGAGCUGCUGCUGGAAGCCCAGUGCCGGGUCCAUGGGGAGAUCUGCCUGAGGAGCAGCCCUGAGGCCAUGAAGAAGCGUGCAGCAGAUUCCUGAUGUUCACCUUCAGAAGCAAGAUAGCCUUUCUUUAAGAUCCACGUGGAGGACCCAGUCUAUACGCAGCAUCUCUGUUUGCCAAGAGGGAGAAGAUGUGUUUCCUCUCCUUAUCCUAAAGCACUUGAGGAGUCAGAGUUGCCUUGACACAGCCAGGAGCACUGGGAUGAAGGGAGAAGCCCUUGCAGGAAGUUUUACCCACAGCUGUGGUCCUGAGCACCGACUGGAGAGAGGCAGCUCCUGAACUACCCACACACUGGGAAUGCGAAUGCUUUGUUUCAAUAACAUUUAACAGCGAUUGCCUCGGCAACCUCUGGCCUGCUGUGAUUAAAUAUUAAUAUGCUUCUAGUCCCUGCUCUUACUCUGUUUUUCUCUCUGCUUUCUAAAUGAAGCUACACACUCUUGGCCUUUCC